rnacentral:rRNA from 1 species
CCUACGGGUGGCAGCAGUGAGGAAUAUUGGUCAAUGGCCGGAAGGCUGAACCAGCCAUGCCGCGUGAAGGUCAGUGCCCUAUGGGCGUUAAACUUCUUUUGUGCGGGAGCAAUAAUGGUCACGUGUGGCCAGACGAGAGUACCGUACGAAUAAGCAUCGGCUAACUCCGUGCCAGCAGCCGCGGUAAUACGGGGGAUGCAAGAGUUAUCCGGAUUUAUUGGGGUUAAAGGGUGCGUAGGCUGUGAGGUAAGUCAGCGGUGAAAUGCCCCCGCUCAACGGGGUGAAGUGCCAUUGAUACUGCCUUGCUGGAAGGCGGAUGCCGUGAGAGGAAUGUGUGGUGUAGCGGUGAAAUGCAUAGAUAUCACACAGAACACUGAUUGCGAAGGCAUCUCACGAAUCCGCGAUUGACGCUGAUGCACGAAAGCGUGGGGAGCAAACAGGAUUAGAUACCCGGGUAGUC